rnacentral:rRNA from 1 species
AACGAACGCUGGCGGCAGGCCUAACACAUGCAAGUCGAACGCUGUAGCAAUACAGAGUGGCAGACGGGUGAGUAACGCGUGGGAACCUUCCCAGUGGUGCGGAAUAGCCCAGGGAAACUUGAGGUAAUACCGCAUAAGCCCCUAGGGGGAAAGAUUUAUCGCCAUUGGAUGGGCCCGCGUCGGAUUAGCUAGUUGGUGAGGUAAUGGCUCACCAAGGCAACGAUCCGUAGCUGGUGAGAGAAUGACCAGCCACACUGGGACUGAGACACGGCCCAGACUCCUACGGGAGGCAGCAGUGGGGAAUCUUGGACAAUGGGCGCAAGCCUGAUCCAGCCAUGCCGCGUGAGUGACGAAGGCCUUAGGGUUGUAAAGCUCUUUUGCCGGGGACGAUAAUGACGGUACCCGGAGAAUAAGCCCCGGCUAACUUCGUGCCAGCAGCCGCGGUAA